rnacentral:ncRNA from 2 species
UGCCGCUCCAGCGCCGAUUUGUUCCAGAUUGCGGGCGCUCUAAAAAUGCCGCUAAAAGUGUGACGCCCGACCCGGC